rnacentral:lncRNA from 1 species
UUACUAUCAAGUGUUUCAAAUUACAUUAUUUCAAGUGGGUAAUCUGAUGAGUUUUAUAUUUGCAAAAGUAAUCUUAUUCCAAUUAUCCAUAUCCACAGUUCUGAAGAUGCAGACCACCUGGACACAGAAGUGACCUCAAAUCCUUUGUUGAUAUACAUAAACUCCAAGAAGAACCAACCAACCAACCAACCAACCCAAUCUAGUUUUGUUCCAGAGUUCACAGUAUAAGGAAAAGAGAAACAUGUAAGUAAGGGGAACAAAACGAAGAGUGAGAAAACAUUUCCGUGAAGAAAGCAUU